ACGGCCACAUCACUUUGAAACACCUGUUCUCGUACGAUCACCGAAGUUAAGCGACGUCGAACCUGGUCAGUACCUAGAUGGGUGACCACUUAAGAAUACCAGGUACUGUAAG